UCUACGGUGUGCUGCAGUAGGGAAUCUUUCACAAUGGGCGAAAGCCUGAUGGAGCAACGCCGCGUGCAGGAUGCAGGCCUUCGGGUUGUCAACUGCUUUUAUAAGCGAGAAAUAUGAUGGUAACUUAUGAAUAAGGAUCGGCUAACUACGUGCCAGCAGCCGCGGUCAUACGUAGGAUCCGAGCAUUAUCCUGAGUGACUGGGUGUAAAGAGUUACGUAAGUGGCAUAAUAAGUAGCUAGUGAAAUCUGUUGGCUAAAACAUUCAGACUAUUGCGAAACUGUUAAGCUCGAGACCGGUAGGGGUAACUGGAAUGUCUAGUGUAGGAGUGAGAUCCGUAGAUAUUAGAAGGAACACCAAUAGCGUAGGCAGGUUGCUGGGACGGUUCUGACACUAAGGCACGAAAGCGUAGGGAGCAAACGGGAUUAGAUACCCGUGUAGUG
rnacentral:rRNA from 1 species